UUUUAUCCCUUUUCGAUGCACUUAACUCUAAAGAUCAAAUUGGUUCAGUGCUUCAAUUGCAGGUAAUUGCAAUUUCUCUUCUUUUCUUGCUCUAUUCGGUUUUAGGCUUAAUGACCCACUUAAAAAAAUCUUAUCUUUUACCUUCCAAGAUCCUCAAUAUGCUUUGCCUUUUUGCUUUUGCUGAGGAAUUUUUGCUUUUUUACCUUCAAAAGAAAGACCCAAGUGGAGUUGAGAAUCGUUACUAUGAUCUCUUGCUUGUGCCUAUUACUAUUUGUGCAUUUUGUUCAAUUCUUGAAUUGAAAAAUCCCAAAUUGAAAUAUGCUAAAUUGGGACGUGGGAUUGGGUUAAUCUUGCAAGGGAUGUGGAUUCUGCAAAUGGGGUUUUCUUUUUUCUCUGAUUUGAUAGCACAAGGUUGCUCUUUGCAUGAAAAGAGUAGAGGUAAUUAUACGGUUAAGUGUAAAGGUCAUCCCGAGUACCAUCGUGGUCGAGCUAUUGCUACCCUUCAGUUCAAUUGUCACCUUGCUCUUCUUGUGACUGUUAUUGCUUUUGUAUACUCAAUUGUGUGUAAAAAGAAUGGUAUUGGCCGUGAACAUAUGCGGUAUAGACCUAUUGGAGUUGAGAUGCAACACUUGGAAAUGGAUAGU
rnacentral:lncRNA from 1 species